CCUACGGGGCGCAGCAGUCGAGAAUCAUUCACAAUGGGGGAAACCCUGAUGGUGCGACGCCGCGUGGGGGAAUGAAGGUCUUCGGAUUGUAAACCCCUGUCAUGUGGGAGCAAAUUAAAAAGAUAGUACCACAAGAGGAAGAGACGGCUAACUCUGUGCCAGCAGCCGCGGUAAUACAGAGGUCUCAAGCGUUGUUCGGAAUCACUGGGCGUAAAGCGUGCGUAGGCUGUUUCGUAAGUCGUGUGUGAAAGGUGCGGGCUCAACCCGCGGACGGCACAUGAUACUGCGAGACUAGAGUAAUGGAGGGGGAACCGGAAUUCUCGGUGUAGCAGGGAAAUGCGUAGAUAUCGAGAGGAACACUCGUGGCGAAGGCGGGUUCCUGGACAUUAACUGACGCUGAGGCACGAAGGCCAGGGGAGCGAAAGGGAUUAGAUACCCUGGUAGUC
rnacentral:rRNA from 1 species